UACAGAGGGUGCUAGCGUUGUUCGGAAUUACUGGGCGUAAAGGGCGCGUAGGCGGCUUAUAAGUCAGAUGUGAAAUCGUCGGGGCUUAACUCCGAACGUGCAUUUGAAACUGUUAGGCUAGAGUGCAGAUAGAGGUUGGGUGGAAUUCCCAGUGUAGAGGUGAAAUUCGUAGAUAUUGGGAGGAACACCGGUGGCGAAGGCGGCCAACUGGGCUGCAACUGACGCUGAGGCGCGAAACGUGGGGAGCGAAC
rnacentral:rRNA from 1 species